rnacentral:rRNA from 1 species
GACGAACGCUGGCGGCGUGCCUAAUACAUGCAAGUAGAACGCUGAAGGAGGAGCUUGCUUCUCUGGAUGAGUUGCGAACGGGUGAGUAACGCGUAGGUAACCUGCCUGGUAGCGGGGGAUAACUAUUGGAAACGAUAGCUAAUACCGCAUAAGAGUAGAUGUUGCAUGACAUUUGCUUAAAAGGUGCAAUUGCAUCACUACCAGAUGGACCUGCGUUGUAUUAGCUAGUUGGUGAGGUAACGGCUCACCAAGGCGACGAUACAUAGCCGACCUGAGAGGGGGAUCGGCCACACUGGGACUGGGACACGGCCCAGACUCCUACGGGAGGCAGCAGUAGGGAAUCUUCGGCAAUGGACGGAAGUCUGACCGAGCAACGCCGCGUGAGUGAAGAAGGUUUUCGGAUCGUAAAGCUCUGUUGUAAGAGAAGAACGAGUGUUAGAGUGGAAAGUUCACACUGUGACGGUAUCUUACCAGAAAGGGACGGCUAACUACGUG